rnacentral:rRNA from 1 species
AGAACGAACGCUGGCGGCAGGCUUAACACAUGCAAGUCGAGCGCCCCGCAAGGGGAGCGGCAGACGGGUGAGUAACGCGUGGGAACAUACCCUCCGGUUCGGAAUAGCUCAGGGAAACUUGGAUUAAUACCGGAUACGGCCUAGCGGCGAAAGAUUCAUCGCCGGAGGAUUGGCCCGCGUUCGAUUAGCUAGUUGGUGAGGUAACGGCUCACCAAGGCGACGAUCGAUAGCUGGUCUGAGAGGAUGAUCAGCCACAUUGGGACUGAGACACGGCCCAAACUCCUACGGGAGGCAGCAGUGGGGAAUAUUGGACAAUGGGCGCAAGCCUGAUCCAGCCAUGCCGCGUGAGUGAUGACGGCCUUAGGGUUGUAAAGCUCUUUCGCUAGGGACGAUAAUGACGGUACCUAGACAAGAAGCCCCGGACUAACUUCGUGCCAGCAGCCGAC